GGUUCUGUGGUGUAGGGGUUAACAUGCCUGCCUGUCACGCAGGAGAUCGCGGGUUCAAAUCCCGUCGGGACCG
rnacentral:tRNA from 2 species